GCCCUUGGUUCAGGGACAGGUCGGUCGGUAGAACAUAAGCUUCUGAAUCUCAGGGUUGCGGGUUUGAGCCCCACACUGGGCA